AUUCACGAGUGUGGGGGCGCGUACAAAUAAUUUAGGGACGCGCUGUCACUGCCGCCGCUGCACAGACCUCCACGGGAAGAGCGCGCAGAUAAGUAGGCACACACACAGUUUCACGCGAUAAGGCGAACAUCAACGCACCUUUCCUACCACAGCCGACUGUGUGGAUGAGCCGAGGAAUGAAGCGCGGCCGCAUCGAGACCUCCUCGCCGGCACCCAGCAGCCGAGAGAGCUCUUCUCCCCCUCCGCUCGCAGAGGCGCUGCCGGCCACAUCUAAGGUGCGAACGCCAAAAAGACAGGAAGCAAAGAAGUACCUGCCAGAUACGCACACAUCCGAGAGCGCGGAUGCUUCAUCUGUUCACAGCGAUGAGUCGGUUGUCAUGGAGAACUCUCGAGAGCGGGAGGACGCAGUCCUCCUUGAAGGCUGCGAUCUCAGUGGUGACGCGCUGAAGAGCUUCCUUCAAAAGAACUUUGUGGACUACAUAGAGGAUGAACUGUUUGAUGUAGCUGCUUUGGAAGCAGUGGAAGACUAAGAUGUACCCUUCACCUCUUGUGUUGCAACUCGUCUUUUCCGCCACCCAAUCAUAGUGAAGCACACGCGCUGCGCGCGUUCAGCGGCGGUGCUCAGUGGAGGAAUACUGUCCGUGUACGCAUUCAGCAGUGACGAAAUGGACGCAGCUAUGCUCUUUCGUCGUGCCGGCAGCAUGCACUUCCCCUCUCCUUUUCCCUCUUCGGCGAAUUCUCCGUCGUCCGCGAUGACUGUCCGUGUGCUAACUACCACACCGUCUUAUCUAUCCCCUCCAGGUGUAUUUUUUGCGUUGUUGGGUGUUACUGGAGUGGUGCGGUGAACGUGACUCAUGCCGAGACGUUCGUGUCAGCAGGAUGCCGGGGCAGAAUUUCUGGGUAGGCAAUAAGCUGAAAAAUGCCAGGUGAAGCGGUGGGACGGAGAGGGGAAGGUGUCCAAACUAAAGGCACAAACUCACUCAGAGGCUUUGGCUGAUGUCUUUUUUCUUCUUUUCGUGUCUUUUAGAUGUUGUCUUUGCCGUCCCCCCUAUCGUGGGUGAAUUCAUUUUUGCACCACUGUGAGGGCGUGGAGGCCGUCGACGUUUGUGAGAUCGAAAUGAAGAAAUGGAUUUUCAACUGAAUCGAGUCUCUAUCUCCGCAUCUCUCUCGACUUUCUCCCAAAGAUGACCUGUCGCUCAUUUGUUGGCUGGAUGUGAGUGUGGGGACGUGGUCAAG
rnacentral:misc_RNA from 1 species